rnacentral:rRNA from 1 species
AAUGCCUCGCCAUGGGCGCAGCCUGAUGCAGCCAUGCCGCGUGUAUGAAGAAGGCCUUCGGGUUGUAAAGUACUUUCAGUCGUGAGGAAGGCGGCGUCGUUAAUAGCGGCGUUGUUUGACGUUAGCGACAGAAGAAGCACCGGCUAACUCCGUGCCAGCAGCCGCGGUAAUACGGAGGGUGCGAGCGUUAAUCGGAAUUACUGGGCGUAAAGCGCAUGCAGGUGGUUUGUUAAGUCAGAUGUGAAAGCCCGGGGCUCAACCUCGGAAUAGCAUUUGAAACUGGCAGACUAGAGUACUGUAGAGGGGGGUAGAAUUUCAGGUGUAGCGGUGAAAUGCGUAGAGAUCUGAAGGAAUACCGGUGGCGAAGGCGGCCCCCUGGACAGAUACUGACACUCAGAUGCGAAAGCGUGGGGAGCAAACAGGAUUAGAUACCCUGGUAGUCCACGCCGUAAACGAUGUCUACUUGGAGGUUGUGGCCUUGAGCCGUGGCUUUCGGAGCUAACGCGUUAAGUAGACCGCCUGGGGAGUACGGUCGCAAGAUUAAAACUCAAAUGAAUUGACGGGGGCCCGCACAAGCGGUGGAGCAUGUGGUUUAAUUCGAUGCAACGCGAAGAACCUUACCUACUCUUGACAUCCAGAGAACUUUCCAGAGAUGGAUUGGUGCCUUCGGGAACUCUGAGACAGGUGCUGCAUGGCUGUCGUCAGCUCGUGUUGUAAAAUGUUGGGUUAAGUCCCGCAACGAGCGCAACCCUUUAUCCUUGUUUGCCAG